AGAGAGAGUAAACAGUGCGUGAAACCGCUCAGAGGUAAACGGGUGGAGUUGAACUGCAAGCUCUGGGAAUUCAGCUGGUGAGCAUGGUUUGGGCUUGGUCAAAUUGGUUGUUGUCUGGGGUCUGCGUAGCAGCAGGUCUCUGCCUUCGGGUGGGGAUGUGCGAUACACUUAUCAAGUGUUGUGCGCCCUGGAGCAAUCGAGCCAACUUGCCAGUGCACUUUCUCAGAGUGGUCACCACGACCGGCACUGCUGUCUGGCUGUUGUGGUUAAACCGGUCUUGCAUUGGCCUUGUGUCUUUGCUUGGUCGGGAUGGCAGGUAGCCCGUUGGCUUGUCUGUGGUUCGCUGCAGGCGUUCGGCUUUCGGGUGUAAUCAGCUGACUAUGAUGGUUCUGUGCAGUGUGUCGGAGACGGCGGCUUGUGGUGCAUGCGUGCGUAGCCUUGUGCUGGCGGGUCUGAGUUUGGUUGCUAUGUUGCUUGUUCAAGCAGGCCUGGCGAUGGCUCGGAUCUGUUCGGUGCUCGGUAGCGUGUGUUGUGCUAUUACCAGGGCCAAUAGUCUGUGGUGUAGUGGUAGACGAUCCACCUGACCCGUCUUGAAACACGGACCAAGGAGAGUAACAUGUGCGCGAGUCAUCGGGCGUAAUGAAACCCACAGGCGCAGUGAAAGUAAAGGUUUGGCUUGUCCAGACUGAGGUGAGAUCUUGUCGUUUCCCACGCGCGGUACUACCAAGCAUCGAGCGGCAGGCGCAUCACCGGCCCGUCCCAUGACGUAGUCACAUAGUCUUCGGACCAGUGCACCGUCGGGGCGGAGCAUGAGCGUACAUGUUGAGACCCGAAAGAUGGUGAA
rnacentral:rRNA from 1 species